GUGGGGAAUAUUGGACAAUGGGCGAAAGCCUGAUCCAGCCAUGCCGCGUGUGUGAAGAAGGUCUUCGGAUUGUAAAGCACUUUAAGUUGGGAGGAAGGGCAGUAAGUUAAUACCUUGCUGUUUUGACGUUACCGACAGAAUAAGCACCGGCUAACUUCGUGCCAGCAGCCGCGGUAAUACGAAGGGUGCGAGCGUUAUUCGGAAUCACUGGGCGUAAAGCGUGCGUAGGCGGUUUUGUAAGUUAGGAGUGAAAGCCCAGGGCUCAACCUUGGAAUUGCUCUUAAAACUGCAAGGCUCGAAUCUCGGAGAGGAUAGCGGAAUUUCCAGUGUAGCAGUGAAAUGCGUAGAUAUUGGAAGGAACACCAGUGGCGUAAGCGGCUAUCUGGACGAGUAUUGACGCUGAGGCACGAAAGCGUGGGGAUCAAACAGGAUUAGAUACCCGUGUAGUCC
rnacentral:rRNA from 1 species